rnacentral:tRNA from 1 species
GGGGAUAGAGCUUAGUUGGUAGAGAGCUUGCCUCACAUGCAAAAGACCCUGGGUUCAAACCCUAUCACCA